CCUACGGGAGGCAGCAGUAGGGAAUCUUCCACAAUGGGCGAAAGCCUGAUGGAGCAACGCCGCGUGGGUGAAGAAGGUCUUCGGAUCGUAAAACCCUGUUGUUAGAGAAGAAAGUGCGUGAGAGUAACUGUUCACGUUUCGACGGUAUCUAACCAGAAAGCCACGGCUAACUACGUGCCAGCAGCCGCGGUAAUACGUAGGUGGCAAGCGUUAUCCGGAUUUAUUGGGCGUAAAGGGAACGCAGGCGGUCUUUUAAGUCUGAUGUGAAAGCCUUCGGCUUAACCGGAGUAGUGCAUUGGAAACUGGGAGACUGGAGGGCAGAAGAGGAGAGUGGAAGUCCAUGUGUAGCGGUGAAAUGCGUAGAUAUAUGGAAGAACACCAGUGGCGAAAGCGGCUCUCUGGUCUGUAACUGACGCUGAGGUUCGAAAGCGUGGGUAGCAAACAGGAUUAGAUACCCUAGUAGUC
rnacentral:rRNA from 1 species